rnacentral:tRNA from 1 species
GGCCCUUUAGUCUAGGGGUUAGGACGUUGGAUUUUGAUUCCAAAGACGCCAGUUCGAUUCUGGCAUGGGCCU